UCAAACUUGGUCAUUUAGAGGAAGUAAAAGUCGUAACAAGGUUUCCGUAGGUACGUAAAGGAAACUCUCUGCCAUCUCACGAUUCACGCUAACCGCUGCCAGGUGAACCUGCGGAAGGAUCAUUACCGAGUACUCCCGCCCAGCGGGAACUCCCACCCUUUGCUUACUGACCUGUUGCUUCGGCGAGACGCUGGUACGCCAGCCACCGGCAUGUCUACAUGCGGGUGAGCGCUCGCCGGAGGUUUUCAACUCCGAAUUUUUGCUGUCUGAGCAAGCGAGAAUUAUCAAAACUUUCAACAACGGAUCUCUUGGUUUUGGCAUCGAUGAAGAACGCAGC
rnacentral:misc_RNA from 1 species